rnacentral:lncRNA from 1 species
AGAGGUUGCAGUGAGCUGGGAUCACACCACUACACUCCAGCCUGGGCAACAGAGCGAGACUCCGUCUCAAAAAAGAUUUCCAGACUCUGCCUACUGUUCUCUCCUCCCUGACCCCACCUGGUUCCUGCUCCCCGAUCCCUCCCCUUUGGUUAACCCUGGAAGCCUCUUCACUGGCUCCCUGCUCUCCAUCCUCGCCACACAGCCAGAGGGACCUGUGAGCGCCUCAGCUGGGUGUCCCACCCCUGCUCAGAGGUCUCCUGUGGCUUCGUCUCAGAGUAAAAGGGUAAAGUGGUCAUCGAGGCCCCUGAGACCCCACCUGAGCUGCUCCACCUUCCUCUUCGGCCCAUCUUUCUGUCUUGCUUGGUCCACCCGACCCGCCUUGACGUUGAAACUCUCCAAACUCCUUCCUGACUCGUGCAUUUACAUUGCCACCGCUGCUCCCUUGGCACCGAGACCCUCCAAGGAGGAGCUGACCCGCUGUCUGGCAGAGGUGGUCACAGAGGUGCUGACCGUGGGCCAGGUCCAGAGAGGACCCUGCACUGCUCUUCUCCACAAGGAGUUGUGCGGGACAGAGCCCCACGGCUGUGCGUCCACCGAGGAGAAAGGCCUGCUGCUUGGGGAUUUCAAGAAGCAAGAGGCUGGGAAGAUGAGGUCCAGCCAGGAGGUGAGGGAUGAGGAAGAGGAGGAGGUAGCAGAGAGGAAC